UUGUUUCACCUAAAAUUGUUUCCCUCCCGUAGCCACAAAUUGUUUCACCCCUAAAAUUCUUUUCCCUCGCUUGAUUGUAACCCUAACUGUAUCCUUCCUCCCCUCAAAUCGCCCACCCCCAAAAUUUUCUCAUGUGCUCUCUCUCUCUCUCUCCCUCUCUAGAUCACGAUUGAUUUCCACAUCUGCUAGGUUCUCGAUGACUACAACAGGUGCUUGUGGCGGGCGUCGAUAAUGUAAUGUCGGUUUGAACCAGAUCUAUACUAUUUCUGAGGGACUUCAAAGCAAUAUAGUUAUUCUUAUGGAUUAGGAUGUGACGAUGAAGCGAUAUAUUAGGAUACACUCUGAGAAGACCAGAAAGAAGCCCUUUUGAAUCUCGUCCCCUUUCUUGUCGUUUAAUCUCAAAGGCCAAAGCUAGAGAUUAGUUUGAAGAAUUAUGUUAUUCCAAAGCUGCUUUAUUUUUUAAAUCAUGGGGAAACUUUCACAAAGGUCGGUGAUAAAGUUUUCUUCAAAAGCAUUCUAAACUCUACCGAGAUUGUAGCAAGAGGAAGGGUCCAGAGCUUGGACCCAAAUGAUCUAGUUGGUGGUACAGAGAUUGGACCAGAAUGGUGUGAGGUAAACGUUCAAGUACCAAUAAAAAAUAUGAAAACUUGGUAAGACCAUAUGGUUUAUUUUCUACAAUUCAAGAUUGUAUUGGUGCAUCCAUCGCAUGGCCAUAUCCAUUCAUCUCAUCUCGGUAGUCCAUGAGGAUUGAGGACGCAUGAUGACUCAAGAUUUUAUACUUCUUAUUUCUUUAAUUGCUUUUAAUUUCUUUGUUAAAUGUUAAGACUUUAUGUUAGAUAAUGUUAUAACUUAUUUAUGGUUAGUGUUUUU